rnacentral:rRNA from 1 species
GAUGAACGCUAGCUACAGGCUUAACACAUGCAAGUCGAGGGGAAACGACAUCGAAAGCUUGCUUUUGAUGGGCGUCGACCGGCGCACGGGUGAGUAACGCGUAUCCAACCUGCCCACCACUUGGGGAUAACCUUGCGAAAGUAAGACUAAUACCCGAUGAUAUCCCUAGAAGACAUCUGAAAGGGAUUAAAGAUUUAUCGGUGAUGGAUGGGGAUGCGUCUGAUUAGCUUGUUGGCGGGGUAACGGCCCACCAAGGCAACGAUCAGUAGGGGUUCUGAGAGGAAGGUCCCCCACAUUGGAACUGAGACACGGUCCAAAACUCCUACGGGAGGCAGCAGUGAGGAAUAUUGGUCAAUGGGCAGAGCCUGAACCAGCCAAGUAGCGUGCAGGACGACGGCCCUAUGGGUUGUAAACUGCUUUUAUAAGGGAAUAAAGUGAGUCUCGUGAGACUUUUUGCAUGUACCUUAUGAAUAAGGACCGGCUAAUUCCGUG